UGGGGCCAGGGCCGGGGCCGGGGCCGGGGCCGGGCCGGGGAGGGGCGGGCACGGCGCAGCGCCGCCUCCCGUUCGCCUCUGCGCCUGGCCCAGCGACUGCGGGCGCUGCGGUCCACUGGGUCCGCCUCUUCCCGGCAUGGGUUUCUGCCCAGCUCACCCGCUGUCAGCUGGGGUCCUGCUCUGGUGGGAGGAAGAGGCUCAGACGCUUCCCUGCCCUCUCGCCUCAACCACCUCGCGGCAGCGGCUCCCAGGAUGUGCACUUUGACUACUAAAGCUGAGCCGGCGCCGCCACGGCCUUGGGCGGGUGGUCGGCCUCUGCCCUGAGCAGGAAGUAGAAAGUCUCAGCAGACCCUUCCUGAGGGCCGAGCAACAGUGUAGUGGUGUAUUCCACAUAGCAAACAGGUAAGCAGCAUUUACCGUGUGCUGGAUUCUGUUCUCACUGCUGUUGCUAUUCCUAAUCUACGGAGGAGGGAAACUGAGGCACGGCCAGCGGUGAUGCAACUUGUUCGAGGAGACACAGACAAUCAUUGCCUGACUUCGCAAUUGAAAUGAUAGUGUCCACUGAAGCGACUGGUGGCGUAGUUUUCCAGGAUAAAACUAGAACAGAAAGGAAGAAAUAUAAAAACAGAGAAGGGGAAAUAUUUGAAGAUAUAAUGGAGAUAAAUUUCAAGGUAGAAAAAAACCUUCAGAUUGAAAAGGUUUAUCUCAAGCAAAAUAUUUCUAUAUGUAAGUAUUUAAAAGCAUAACUUUGAACUUAUUUUCUAUUAAGCCAUAUUGUCAUUAGAAUGUGAGAAUGUAUUAAUAAUAAAAAUAUUCUUAUGAAAGAUUCAUUUGAAUGACAUUCUUGGAGGACAUAAUCAAACAAGAAGAGAAACAAAUUCAGGAGAUGAUACAAUAGAUACUGCAUGAGAGUGGCCAAAUAUUUAGGCUGAAUUUGUUGUUGUGUUAGAAAAAAGGCCAGGAACCACCCAAGUGUCCAGGAACUGGUGGGUGGCUAUACAUAACUGUGAUGCAUCUAUACAAUGAAAUACAACUAAGCAUUAAGAAGGAACAAACUUCUUACAUAUGCAAAAACAUGGAUGAUCUGAAAUGCAUGUUAAGUGAAAAAAAGUCAGAUAUAAUAAGCUACUCUAUGAUUCCAUUUAUGUGACAUUCUGGAAAAGGCAGAAAAUAGAUCAAUGGUUGUCAGGUGCUGGGGGUGAAGGGAAUCUGGAGAAACUUUCUGAAGUGAUGGAAAUAUUCCAUUAUCUUGAGAAUGGUACUGAUGACCCAGUGGUAUCUGUUUGUCAAAAUUUGUAGAACUGUACGCUAGAAAAGGUGAAUUUUAUUGUAUGUAAACUGUAUUUCAUUAAACCUGACUUACAAAAACUCUUUUCAAAAGUCUAGAAACAAAGAACAGUAUAUUUAUGACUCAGACCUAAAAUUAUAGACAAUAUCAAUAUUGUGAGGGGUGUGGGGCUCAGGAAUGAGAGGCCAAAGUGAUAGGACAGUGAUCUAAGAUAGUGCCAUUCAAAGGGUGGUUCACAAAAAUUAAUGGUUCUCAAAGAGAUAAGGAGCUUGUACCAGAAUGCAUAUCAGCUAUGUCAUAAGCAAACUCUUUGAUUCAGCUGACACUUUCGUAGCAAGACUUUCUCAAUGAAGGAAGCUGUGUGUUGAUUUACAUUCGGGCUCAAAUCUCAUUCUGGAAUGGAUGAGAUAAGUAACCCAGUACUACUUAGAGUACUUAGAGUAGUACUGGGUUAAAUUACUAUCAUAUGGGAGGAAGACGAAAAAAAUUGUUAACUUUAAUAAAUCAAUAAGGAUAAAUAUUUGUGAAUGUAGGUCUUAAGGGUAACUACCAUUAAAAAAGAAUAAAACAUGUAACUUUUAAAGCAGUGGAAGAAAAUUUUAUUGAAUGAAAGGCAAGAGAGCAGAGGAAAAAGGAAUAAAAAGAAAGUGUAAUAAUUAGAGUAUAUGAAAUUUGAUAGCAGAAAUAAAAUUACUAAUAAUAAUUUUUACUUUCAGAGUACCUAAUAUGUUCCAGAUACUUUUCUGUGUGUUUCUUAUUUGAUCCUCAUAAUAAUCUUAUGAGAAGGUACUAUUACUUUCAUCAUCCUCAUUUUAUAGAUGACGAAACUGAGAUUAAUUAACUUGCUAGAAAGUGGCAGAACCAAGGCCUGAACCCAGGUGGUCGGGAUCUAGAACCCAUGCUUAGAACCAUACUUAGAGCUAUUCUAUGCUGCCUCCUAAAUAGAGCAGCAAUUACAAUAAACGUAAGUGGCUUAAACUAACCAAUUAAAAAAAACAGUCUUUCAAAUUGAAUGAAAGCAAGGGAUUCAGCAAUAUGUUUUCUACAAGAAACUUGUGUAAAACAAAUAGACACUAAAAGGUUAAAAGGCUUGAAAAGGAUAUAGCACAAACGUGAAUCAAAGAAAGCUCAUGUAGUAAUUUUAAAACCUGACAAAAUAAAAGUUAAGAUAGAAAGUUCAUAAGGGAGGUCAUAACUGUGCCCAACAAUACAGCUUUAAUAUUUAUUAAGCAGCAGCUAACAGAAGUUUAGGCAGAAACAGAUAAAUCAGAAUUAUAGUUGGAGAUUUUUAACUAGCUCCUCUCAGUAUCCAAUAGAUCAAGUAGACAGUAGAUACUUCCUCUCCUCUCCCAACACACAUACACACAGAAAACAAAUAUACAAGUUCUGGACAAUUUAAUUAAUAAACUUGAGCCAUUAGAUAUUUAUAACUCAUAUACAUUUCCAUCAAACAGUGAAUACAUGUUCUUUCUCUUUUCAGGUACAUGUGAAACAUUAAAGUAAAAACAUAAACUGUGUAUUAGAUCUUAAAGGAAGGCUCAAUAAAUUUCACAGUGCAAUAAAAUUAGAAGUAAUGAAUAACAGUAUGUGUGGUGGACAGAUUUUAAGGCCCCUAUGAUUUCCAUCUCCUGGUGUUUACACCCUUAUGUAGUUCCCUUCUUUGGAUAUGGGUGGGACCUGUACCUUUCAACCAAUUAUGAUGGUUAAUUUUAUGUAUUAUUUUGAAUAGAUCAGCCAUAGGAUAUCCAGAUAUUUGGUCAAACAUUAUUCUGGGUAUUUCUGUGAGUGUGUUUCUGGAUGAGAUUAGCAUUUAAAUUGGUGGACUGAGUAAAGCAGCUUUCCCUCCCUAAUGUGUAUGGGCCUCAUCCAAUCAGUUGAAGGCCUGAAUAGAAAAAAAGGCUGACUCUACUACCCUAGUAAGAGGAUUCUCCUGCCUGAUGGCCUUAGAACUGGGAUAUUGGCUGUCCAUCUACAGCAUCCUACUGGUCUUUGGACUUGAACUGGAACAUUGACAUUUCCUGGUUCUACAGCAGCUUCCAGCCUUUGGACUUAAAUUGGAACACUGGUUUUGCAGAUUUUGGACUUGCCAGCCUCCAUAAUCCCAUGAGAGUCAAUUCAUUAUAAUAAAUCUCUUUAUAAUUUCUAUCUGUCUGUCUAUCUUAUCUAUCAAUCAUCCAUCCAUCCGUCCUAUUGGUUCUGCUUCUCUGGAGACCCCUAAUACACCAAAAAAAUACAGUAAAUGUGAUGGAAAGUCAUUCCCAUGAUUACAUGACAUUAAAAAAGAAAGAGAACCUGGUUAGAUUGUGCCCAGACUCCUGACCAACAGAAACUAUAAGAUAAUAAAUGCAUGUUGUUUUAAGUCACUACAUUUGUGGUAAUUUUUCAUGUACAAUAAAUAAUACAGCAGAUGUAUUAGUUCAUUCUUGCAUUACUAUAAAGAAAUACCCAAGACUGGGUAAUUUAUAAAGAAAAGAGUUUUAAUUGGCUCACAGUUCUGCAUGCUAUACAGGAAGUUUAGUGGCUUCUGCUUCUUGGGAGGCCUCAGGAAACUUACAUUCAUGGUGGAAGGUGAAGGGGAAGCAGGCAUGUCUUACACGGCUGGAGCAGGAGAGAGACAUGGGGGAGGUGCAACAUACUUUUAAAUGACCAGAUCCCACAAUAACUCACUAUUAUGAGAACAGCACUGAGGGGAUGGUGCUAACCCAUUCAUGAGAACUCAGCCCCUAUGAUCCAAUCACCUCCCACCAAGCCCAGCUUUCAAUACUGGGGAUUACAAUUUGACAUGAAAUUUGAGUGGAGACACAGACCCAAACCAUAUCAGCAGAAUAGCAAAAAACAAAACCCACAAACAAACAGAAACCAAAAACUACCCAAACCUCAUUUGGAAACCAAAAAACAUCUUACUAGACAACAUCAUUGAGUCAUAAAGGAAAUUAAGAAAUAUUUAAAAUUGAAUGUUAAUAAAAAUUCUACAUGUCAAAUUGGGACACAGCUAAAGUGCCAGUUAGAUGGAAAUGUAUGCUUAUAUCUAUCAGGAAACAAAAGGUUAAAAUUAAAGUAGCUAAGCAUUCAACACAAGAAGCAAUGGCAUACACAGUGAAACAAGAAGAAAGCCAAUAAUAAAGAUAUGGGCAGAAAUCAGUGACAUAGAGAAAAGUAGAGAAGAUGAAUAAAAGAGAAGUCAGUCCCAUGGAAAAGAUUAAGAAGACCAAACUUUGGCAAGACUGAUCAGGAAAAAAGAGGAAAGACUCAAAAUAAGACAGAAUAAUGGAGGAAAUAACAAAAUAUAUUAAAACAUUUAAAAAGUGUUAUGAACCCUAAUAUAUGUAAACCUAGAUGAAAUGGAUAUGUUCCUAAAAAUGUAAAAUGCCAUAAUUGGUGUAAGAAGAAAUAGAGAAUUUGAAUAAACCACUAAGUGUUUGGUAAAUUGAAAUGGCAGCCAAAUAUCUCUCCUAAACUCCCCCACCCCAACUCAGAUCUAGAGGCUUUUAAGGGACUUUUAAGAAAGUUAAUUUGUAUAACAUGCAAGUUGCUCCAGAAAUAGAAAUAGAGCAAAAGUUGCUCAGGUCAUUUUAUGAGGCCAGCGUCAACCUGAUACCAAAAACAAGUAAAGAUUGUA